rnacentral:lncRNA from 1 species
CCUGGAUGUUGGAAGGGUGCAGGGGGGAGCCAGUCCUCGCCCAGAGUCCUGGUGAAUGGGGGCGGAGUCAAGGCCUUUGGAAUGAGAAGCCAGAGAUCCAAGUCCAAGGUCCAGCCCUGUCUCCGAGGACUUGGCCAGAAACUCAAGCUGUACUUUUCUGGCUGUUUUUGGAGGAAAUCUGCACGUCGGCAGGGCACUUACCCUGCGCUAGGGGAUGCUGUGGGUACCAGGUCGCAGCUCUAACAGAUACUUCCUGCUCUGGAAGGUCUAAUCCCUUUGUCAAUGGAAAUGAGGAGUUAAAUAGAAAGGCAGAGAGGAGAAAGCGAUGACUUCUGAGCUUCACCGCUAACAAAGAGAUGGAACCAGGAAAUGAGAAGGACCCUCGGUGUGGGUGGGGUAAUUUCAGCUUGGGUGGGAAAGAACCCUUGCAGGAGGUGACAGGGAGAUAGGUGACCUUCAGAGGAGGUAACCACCAGGGACAAGGUGGGGAGGGCCCUAGGGAGGGAGAAGAUCGGAAAUGAGGUGUGAAGGAGGAGGAACAGUCCGGUUGCAGGUACCUGGGGGCUGUUCCAGGCAGAGGGAACAGUGUUAGGCCUUGGGAGGCAGCUGGGCUCAGAGACAGCGUGGGGGAGACUGAGGGCUCUGAGGCCACAUUAGCUUCCUUAGCAACAGCCCAAUGUAGUCAGUGCUUUUCCUCUUUAAUUCCGCUCUUCCCCUCAACUUCCUGGCCUGAAUGCAGCUUCUGUGACCCCUUCCAAGUUCGAGAAGUGGCCCAGGGCAAAUGGUCUGGAGCUGUGCCUUGGUUUCCCCAUGUGCAAAACGCUGUGAAUAAGCGGGUGGUGAACCGUCCCCGGUUGGUUCUUCCUGCUCCCAAUUUUUGGCAGUAGGCUUACAGUAGGCGCUUAAUGUAUACUUGCAGUACAAACGACCUGCGAGUCCGCGGCGCCAGGCUCUUAGACCGACAGCUGCCACAACCCGCGGGGCGGACUAGCCCGCUGGCAGGUAGGGACCGGCUGGUGAGCGCUGGGCGGGCGCCCUGGGGCGCAGCCAAGGGUGGAGGCGUGCAGGCUGCGCAAGCGACGUCUGGCGCCCGGGGGCGCGCACGCCGAUCGGCCGGCGGGGUACAGCUGGGACCUGCGGGGACGCGCACGCUGAGCGCCCGGCCGGGGCGGGACUGGGAACUUGCGUCCCG